GAAGUAUAUUUGGUUAAUGCAUAUAUGUAAUAUUAAAUGCACCCUUAAUUAAAAAAGUCCAUUUUAAUUUCAAUUUUAAAUUAUAUGUGGUUUAUUGCAGUGAUUAGGUUUAUAUACAAUAUUGUCAAAGCACAGUAAACGGUGAACAGUAUAAAUGUUUUCCUACAGACAGUGAGCAUGUAAUAUUGUCUGAACAUUUUUUUAUCUGCAUGCCCUCAUGAAAUUAACCAGUUGUCAUUUGCAUAUUUUAUUUCUCAUAUCACAGAAGAAUUUACAUGCAUGGUAAUGUAGUAUUUAUUGUAUUUUGCUGGUUCUGUUAUGCUUUCAGUUUUAUUUUCUCAUCUGUAUUUUCCUAAAUCUGCAAAACAGCAUAUUUCUAUGAUGAAUCAGAGCUUAUCGUGCUUGCUCCCUGUAUGUAGGCUGGCCAUUAAGUAGAACAAUUAAAAAUGUUUGACAUAUUCAGCCAGUGUUUACACAGUUGUGAGACUCAGUGUACAGCCAAAGGAUCUGUGAUUGCUUAGUCAGGGGAGUGUUUUCUGUCUUCAUCCAGUACCUCAGCCAGAAAACAGACAUCCACCUCUCACACGUUUAAUAGUGCUGUAAGAGAAUUAGCACUUCUGAGCCUGGGGUGCCCUCAGGAAUCUCAAACUGAUUUUAGGAGUAGUGUUUUUUUUUUUUUUUUAUGAGUACAAUAUGGUCUGUAGUUAACACUACUUUAAGAGAUUUUCACGUUUUGUUCUACAAAAUAAAUCACACACAGUCAAACCACAAAUGUCAGUUUAGUAACAUAAGGACUACAAAUGCCACAAAACGGUAUUUUAAAUCCACAUUUGAAAUUCCUGAAGGAACCCAGGUUGAGUUUUCCCUUCCAGAUUUGCCUAUGAAUUGACGUCAGGACUGAACAGCUCUAUUUAGUGUUCAGCUGAUGGCAAACAUUGAAGGAAUACUUAAUAUUAAAAAGCCGUAUGACUUGCUUUUUUCUGUUGAACACAAAAAUAUAUUUUAAAGGAUGUUUCAACUAUUUUUAUAGACACAAUAAAAAUCUAAACGGCCCCGGACUGACUUUCUUUGCAUGGACAAAAAGCACCAAUACAUUUUUUGAAAUACACACAGAAAAGAAAAGAAAAAACUUUAAAAUUAGUUUAUAUUUGGAAACUUUAUACAUUGGUUGUUAUAUAGCAUGUUUUAAAGUGCUUGAGCAUCACAGUAAGAUGUUGGAGUGUGUGUGGGUGUGCUUUGGUGUCUUCAGCAUGUUCUGACUUGUCUUGGUCCCUCAGUAGUAGUCAGGGGGAGUGUGUGUCACUGGGGGGAUGCUUACUGACAUCUCAAAGAACCCACUGACCCUGCCCCCUACACCUUACAGAAUGCUGAAGCCAAUCUAAGUAUACUGUACUCAGAGACAGUUUUUACUAUUCAUGUGCAUGUGUUUGUGUGUAUUUAUGUGCUGUGUGCAUUAAAUGUUCAUGUCAGACUCCCUGAGUGUAAUUAACACAUUGCGUAAGUGUUUUUCUCUCUGAAGUCUUCCUCAUGUUUGAUCUUACAGUGUUCAUGUUUAAUGUCAUUGUGCUGUAGUUUUUGGAGGGUUUCGUCUAAUCAGGUUUAGAAGAUCAAAGUCUAACAUGCAUUCAUCUGCGUCCUAUAAUGAAUAUUUUUGUCUCUCACCUACUAAAGCUCCUUGACUGUUUUUGUGUGUAAAUUGUUAAAAGAGAAAAGCUAAUUUAAAGGAACAGUUUGUCUAAAAAGAAAAUUCUGUCAUUUACUCAACCCUCAUGUGUUUCCUGCGUUGUUACUGUUAAUUAAAACUAUUAAAACUCAUUUUCAGUAUUUGAAAUAAACCUGAUUUAAUAAAACACUAACUUAGUUUAAGAUGAGUUGCAAAAAUUACUAAAACUUCUAAUAAAAACUGAAAAUAUUAAAAAAGCGACUUCAAAAUAUUAGUAAACACUAUAAUAGUAUAAACAUAGAGCUAAAAUAGCAAUAUUUCAAGCCACGUUCUUCUGAAGAAUGUAUAAGGAAACUCUUUGAAGAAUGCUCAUGAUGCUCUUUCUUAAUUAUAAUGUAAACUAGUUUGUGUCAAGCUCCAAAAAUGGGGUAAAACCACCAUAAAAGCAUCAUAAAAGUAGUACUAAUCAUUUACUGUUUUCCCAAGUCAUCUGAAGCCAUACAAGAGCUUUGAGUGAGGAAUUUGAGUUGUUUUUCACUAAAGCUUACUUUGAAAAUCAUGCUUGACAGUUGUGGUCACCAUUCAAUUUCACUGUGUGAAAAGAACAACAUGCACAUAUGCUAUAAAUAACUCAAUUUGUGUUGCAUGAAAGAAAGUAAGUCAUAUGGGUUCUGAAGGACAUGAGGGCGAGGAAAUGAUGACAGAAUUAACAUCUUCUAAGGCUUGUUUUGUAUCUGAUAACGCUCUCGAAACCCCCCAUCAGUCUUUAGUCCAUGCUCAUGCGUUAGUCUCUGCAGGUAUGCUGGCGGUGGGCCCUGCAUGAUUAUGAGCUGGUAUGAAUAUAUGAUAAGAGGAAUGAUGACAGGAGACCUUUGCUGAAAUAUGAAACUGAUGGUGCUGAUUCGUCUACGUUCGACAGGUCCUUACAAGUUAUGGGCUGUUAACACUCACAUGCACAAAUACACACCUUUCACAGCUCUCUUCACCACAUCAGAGCCCCCUAAAAUAGUGUAAGCUGUCUGGUAACUGUUUAAUGAACAUGAAAGGAAACUGUUAUGCACUCAUGUACAUGUAUUAAUUUUGGUCAUAUAAUAACAUUGGUAUUGUUCUUUGCCAAAAAUUAAUUGAAUAUGUCAUAUUUUGACAUAAUGAUAUUUUGGCCUAGGUGUCAGCAUGAUAGCGAGGUCCUGAGAAAAGAGAAGAAAGAAGAAAACUGAUGGUAUUUGGAGCUGGAUGAAUAAGGAGCAAAUGUUUUUAUUGAAGGCCCAGGUGCUGCACAACAGGAAGCUUCAAUACACUCAUCAGAGAAUUCUGCAGAUGUUUUUUCUCGUCAUUCUGAUGGAACAAACGGAUAUAAAGAAAAGGUAGCAGACACUUGACAUGAAGAAUCCACAUCAGAAGAGCCCGGGCUGGCAGGAGAUGAGCAGGGAGGUGUCACUCACACAGGGGUAACAACAGAGCUGGUGAGAGGCCGGGUCAGUAGUGUGGUAAUACAGCCUCCCCAUAGGGGGGCAAUCAGUGAGGCAGGGGAGGAUUGAAGAGACAGAUAUUAGGGGCCAUUUACAAGACAACAUUUUCGGCCAAAAAUGGGAAACUUUUUAAUGCGUUUUGCCUGUUCGUUUAUAUGACAACUGUGUUUUGGGGACUGAAAACGCAUAUUUUUUAAAAUGGGUUUCAAAGUCCAAUUUUUGAAAAUGGCAUCGUUAUUGUUUCCGUGUAAACACACAAUACGGGAAUCUUUGAAAACGGUGACGUCAUGUGCGUGCGUAGGUAUGUAGACAUGUGCAGUACGUGUCGAUUUUAAA